rnacentral:lncRNA from 1 species
UUACCAAAGUCUCUUUUUUUUUAUUUCUCUAGAUAUACACCAAUAGGACGAGAAUUCGGUACUUAAACCAUUGGUCUCUAUGACUCGAUAUCUAUUUGAUAACUUCGCGAUAGUUGUGCACUUGCGGCUGCACCAGUGAAUAUCCAAGUGUUUCCGCCAAGUAUCUUAGGCUACAAAAGCACACUGUUCAAUAACAAUAAGUGAGUAUCUAUGUGUUUUCGCCAAGUAUCUUAGGCUACACAAGCACAUUGUUCAAACGACAAGGCGUUUCAAGGUUAAGCAUUCACUGCGGUUUGGAAAAGACUUGAAAUAGGAAACUCAGAGGUGAAACACGGUCUACCUGUGUCAGGUGACACAUACCGUGUCACCCCCAAGUCAUCUCAGACCCCCAACACGAUUCACCCGUGUUACCCAACCCGUGUUGGCCUUAGGGGAUUUUACAAAAGCAUAACACGACUUACCCAUGUUGCAUGAAACGACCCGUGUCAGCUUCAGGGUGUGUCAUACAAAAACUAGAGAGCUACACGGCCAACCUGUGUCAAUGUUACAGCAUGUCAUACAAAAACCAAAGAGGGACACGGUCAGCCCGUGUCACACAACACGACCCUUGUCAGGCCCAAAAACUAUGGGGCUCUCUUGAUUUUGAGAUUUUCAAACUUUUACCCCACUUGAACCUGCAUUGAAAAUGAUUCACAGCCAGCCAAUACACAAAAUACACGGUCAAAUAGUCAUAGAACCAACAUGUCAUCAAAGUUCCUACUCAUACAUGUAUCAAUGACCUAACUUACUAAUCCUAAGCAUGUUCAUCAAGGUUUCUUAAAGAUAAAUCACAAGGUGCAUGAAACAUGCAACAUGUAAGGAUGAUUCAUGAAAACUCAGUUUGUAAUAACAGUUUGUUGCAAUAUUUAUUCAUAACAUAUAUGCAAGCAAACAAGGUUUCAUAACACAAGCAACAUAGAUUGCAAACAAAAUUCAGAAAUCAAACCCCUUUCACAUGAAUCCCUAAUCCUAACAUCAUUUUCUAUCCCCAAUCAGAUAUCUAACUAGAACCCACCUCGAAGAAGAUUCUGAUUUGAUGAGAAUGACGUAAAGAAAUGAUGAUUGAAGCUUAGCUUGAUAAGUCUACUCCAAAAUAUACUCUUGAUUGCUCAUGCAAGGGAUGAUGAUCAAGAACUCGAGUUUUCUCCCUUCUCCUCUCUCAAACUCGAGCUCCCUCUUUCUCUCCUACUUUCUCUCACUUAAUUCUGAAUUUGGAAUGAAAAAUGAGAUUUGAAAGGCCAACCAUCAUUAGAAGAUGCUUAUUAGAAAUAGGGUAUUACAUCAUUCCCCUAGUGAAAGGAAAAGUCCGCUUCUUUUUCACCAUAUCUGACAAAAUCAGAUGAAAGAAGUCAGAGACAAAUUUCCAAAAUUGCGAUACAUUGUAUAUCAUGAAGACCAGAGAGGGAAGAUGGCAACGGUAAUUGGUAUGUCACUUCACCUACCAUCUAAUGAUAUGGUCCCACAUAUCUCAAGCUUAACUUUCAGAAAAUGUAAUAUAUGAUUUAUAUAAAGAUAGAUAUGAAAAAAGAUACUAUAACAAUUAAAAAAAUCAUGCUUAUCUGGAGAUAUCCUUAGAAAUCCCACUUAAAAACUUUAAUAAAGAAACAUGAUUUCGUUAACUUAGUUUGAAUACUUUUUGAGUUAAACUUUAAAAAUAAAAAAUAGCUGUACAAAUUUUUAGUAAAC